UCGCAUAACACGCAGUGCGGCGCGGCGGC
rnacentral:sRNA from 1 species